rnacentral:rRNA from 1 species
AUACGGAAGGUCCGGGCGUUAUCCGGAUUUAUUGGGUUUAAAGGGUGCGUAGGCGGAUGAUUAAGCGUGAGGUGAAAUGCCACUGCUCAACAGUGGAACUGCCUCGCGAACUGGUUGUCUUGAAUGCUCCUGCCGUGGGAGGAAUGUGUGGUGUAGCGGUGAAAUGCAUAGAGAUCACACAGAACACCGAUUGCGAAGGCAUCUCACGAAGGGGUGAUUGACGCUGAGGCACGAAAGCGUGGGGAUCAAACAGGAUUAGAUACCCUGGUAGUCCACGCAGUAAACGAUGAUAACUAACCGCUGGGUCGUAGUGAUUCAGUGGCCAAGCGAAAGCGAUAAGUUAUCCACCUGGGGAGUACGACCGCAAGGUUGAAACUCAAAUGAAUUGACGGGG